GUUGGAUGCGGUCGGUGUCACACAGCUUCAAAAUUGCGUAUGGACUGCGGAAAAGAAACACUUAGCUAGCCUACUUGGGUUAUUUUGAAGCCAGUUAACGUUAUACUUUGGUGUUACAAAAAUACAAGAUAAAGUUAACAUUUUAAUGAAACAAGCGGGAGUUAGCUUGUUUUUCAGUGUUGCUAAUGAUAACAGCUAAUUUUUUUGCAAGAGUAGUAAGCUAGCAGCUAUAAAGACAGGACAUGAGGGCUUCUGUCAGCAAGCAAGCAAACAACAAGUGCAGUGGGAUAAUGGCUGAUGGACUUUGAUAAUUUCGUCUUCAAAUGGACCACAUAAUCUCCAUGGGGAAAAUGAGAAUGGACUUUGACAUCAAAUAACCCGAAUGCUGCGCAUCGUGAGCAGUGGUCUGGUUUGUUGACGUCACUCCUCCCUCUCUCCAUCUGCGUUUCCUCAUCAGGAGACCGUAGUUAAAGAAUAGAGAUUGCCAGAUGAUAAUGUUUCUGUGGAAACACAAAUCAACAUGUACUUGAGAAGAACUAUGAAGUUAAUCCAGUCCUCCGUCUCUCCAUGUGAGAUUGACGGACAGAGGUGAAGAGCUUGAAGGCACCAAACAGAUUGAAGGUCAAGGGGGUUUCAUUAUUUCAAAUCCAAGCAAUGUGGAAGAUGUGAUUUUCUUUUCUUUCUCUGAUUAUUCAAUUUUGCUUUCGCUAAUCAGAAUUAUUUUUCUUCUAACUGCACUUGGGUUUUAGCUGUGUAUGUGCUUGUGCAAUCAUGUGUGAGGUUGAUUUCAGGAUUAACAGUAAAUAAACACUGCCUUUGUGACUGUAAUUAUGAAGCCAGAUGUGCUGACAUGAGCUGCUACAUGAUUUACAUCAGUGUCACAACAAUGCACUUUUUAAACCCAGAUUUUUGGCAGAUGGUGUUUCUGUUUGAAAUGUUUUUCAUUUCAUUCACUCUGUAUCCAAAAUUGAUGUGCCACCACCCAGUGAUUUUUGGCUG